rnacentral:rRNA from 1 species
UGAGGAAUAUUGCCCAAUGGACGCAAGUCUGAGGCAGCAACGCCGCGUGGGCGAUGAAGGCCUUCGGGUUGUAAAGCCCUUUUCUGGGGGAAGAGGAAGGACGGUACCUCAGGAAUAAGUCACGGCUAACUACGUGCCAGCAGCCGCGGUAAUACGUAGGUGGCAAGCGUUAUCCGGAUUCACUGGGCGUAAAGCGCGUGCAGGCGGUUUCGUAAGUCGGACGUGAAAGCUCCUGGCUUAACUGGGAGAGGUCGUUCGAUACUGCGGGGCUUGAGGUCGGGAGAGGGACGUGGAAUUCCCGGUGUAGUGGUGGAAUGCGUAGAUAUCGGGAGGAACACCAGUGGCGAAGGCGACGUCCUGGCCCGCACCUGACGCUGAGACGCGAAAGCGUGGGUAGCGAACGG